AUACGUAGGGGGCGAGCGUUGUCCGGAAUGAUUGGGCGUAAAGGGCGCGGAGGCGGCCCGGUAAGUCUGGAGUGAAAGUCCUGUUUUUAAGAUGGGAAUUGCUUUGGAUACUGUCGGGCUUGAGUGCAGGAGAGGUAAGUGGAAUUCCCAGUGUAGCGGUGAAAUGCGUAGAGAUUGGGAGGAACACCAGUGGCGAAGGCGACUUACUAGACUGUAACUGACGCUGAGGCGCGAAAGUGUGGAGAGCAAACAGGAUUAGAUACCCUGGUAGUCCACACUGUAAACGAUGAAUGCUAGGUGGAGGUAGUAUCGACCCCUUCUGUGCCGCAGUCAACACAAUAAGCAUUCCGCCUGGGGAGUACGGCCGCAAGGUGGAAACUCAAAGGAAUUGACGGGG
rnacentral:rRNA from 1 species